rnacentral:rRNA from 1 species
AUUGAACGCUGGCGGCAGGCCUAACACAUGCAAGUCGAACGGAUCCUUCGGGAUUAGUGGCGGACGGGUGAGUAACGCGUGGGAACAUACCCAAAGGUACGGAAUAGCCUCGGGAAACUGGGAGUAAUACCGUAUGUGCUCGAAAGAGGAAAGAUUUAUCGCCUUUGGAUUGGCCCGCGUUGGAUUAGGUAGUUGGUGGGGUAAUGGCCUACCAAGCCGACGAUCCAUAGCUGGUUUGAGAGGAUGAUCAGCCACACUGGGACUGAGACACGGCCCAGACUCCUACGGGAGGCAGCAGUGGGGAAUCUUAGACAAUGGGGGAAACCCUGAUCUAGCCAUGCCGCGUGAUCGAUGAAGGCCUUAGGGUUGUAAAGAUCUUUCAGGUGGGAAGAUAAUGACUGUACCACCAGAAGAAGCCCCGGCUAACUACGUGCCAGCAGCCGCCGUAA